UAGGGAAUCUUCCGCAAUGGACGCAAGUCUGACGGAGCAACGCCGCGUGAGUGAAGAAGGAUUUCGGUUCGUAAAACUCUGUUGUUAGAGAAGAACAGCGCAUAGAGUAACUGUUAUGCGUGUGACGGUAUCUAACCAGAAAGCCACGGCUAACUACGUGCCAGCAGCCGCGGUAAUACGUAGGUGGCAAGCGUUGUCCUGAUUUAUUGGGCGUAAAGCGAGCGCAAGCGGUCAAUUAAGUCUGAUGUGAAAGCCCCCGGCUCAACCGGGGAGGGUCAUUGGAAACUGGUAGACUUGAGUGCAGAAGAGGAGGGUGGAAUUCCAUGUGUAGCGGUGAAAUGCGUAGAUGUAUGGAGGAACACCAGUGGCGAAGGCGACUCUCUGGUCUGUAACUGACGCUGAGGCUCGAAAGCGUGGGUAGCAAACAGG
rnacentral:rRNA from 1 species